rnacentral:rRNA from 1 species
CAGCCGCCGCGGUAAUACGUAGGUCCCGAGCGUUGUCCGGAUUUAUUGGGCGUAAAGAGAGCGCAGGCGGUUAGAUAAGUCUGAAGUUAAAGGCUGUGGCUUAACCAUAGUACGCUUUGGAAACUGUUUAACUUGAGUGCAAGAGGGGAGAGUGGAAUUCCAUGUGUAGCGGUGAAAUGCGUAGAUAUAUGGAGGAACACCGGUGGCGAAAGCGGCUCUCUGGCUUGUAACUGACGCUGAGGCUCGAAAGCGUGGGGAGCAAACAGGAUUAGAUACCCCAGUAGUCCCUGUCUCUUAUACA